rnacentral:rRNA from 1 species
GUGCCAGCAGCCGCGGUAAUACGAAGGGGGCUAGCGUUGUUCGGAAUUACUGGGCGUAAAGCGCACGUAGGCGGACUUGUCAGUCAGAGGUGAAAUCCCGAAGCUUAACUUCGGAACUGCCUUUGAUACUGCAAGUCUUGAGGAUGAGAGAGGUAAGUGGAACUGCGAGUGUAGAGGUGAAAUUCGUAGAUAUUCGCAAGAACACCAGUGGCGAAGGCGGCUUACUGGCUCAUUUCUGACGCUGAGGUGCGAAAGCGUGGGGAGCAAACAGGAUUAGAUACCCGCGUAGUCC